rnacentral:lncRNA from 13 species
UGGAGCCCAGGACGUGCAAUAGGGAAUGGCAGGAGGUAAAGAAGGGUGAGGCUGUCAUUGGAAUCUCUCUGGUGCAAGACCUGCUCACUGAAUUCAUUUGCGUUUCAGGGACCUGUGCAGCAGGGGUCAUGGGUCUCACGACGCCUCAGUAUUGCCUCUUUGGGGACACCACGGCUUCCUGGAUGGAGUCCACAGGCAUACAGCAUUCAUGUCAGCCAAAGCACUCUCCAGAUACUGCUCAGUCCUGAGAAGGCUACCAAAUUGACAUCAGAGGUCAGACGGAGCUGAAGGCACUACUGAAAAGCCUAGCUCCCAGCCCUCCCCUGCACAUCCUGUCUCGGAACUGGGAACCUGCAGAUCUGGCAGCCUUGUC